rnacentral:rRNA from 1 species
UACGUAGGGUGCGAGCGUUAAUCGGAAUUACUGGGCGUAAAGCGUGCGCAGGCGGUUCUGAAAGUCAGCUGUGAAAGCCCCGGGCUUAACCUGGGAAUUGUGGUUGAAACUACAGGGCUAGAAUCUGGCAGAGGGGGGUGGAAUUCCACGUGUAGCAGUGAAAUGCGUAGAGAUGUGGAGGAACACCGAUGGCGAAGGCAGCCCCCUGGGCUGAGAUUGACGCUCAGGCACGAAAGCGUGGGGAGCAAACAGG